rnacentral:rRNA from 1 species
AUUGAACGCUGGCGGCAGGCCUAACACAUGCAAGUCGAACGGCAGCAGAGUGAUUGCUUCCGCAUUCAGGGGCGGACGGGCGAGUAGGGGCUAGAAAUAUGCCAGGCUGCGGGUGAUAGCGUGCGGACACGGGCGCAAAUACGGCAUUAGUCCUGAGGACGUACGUGUGAGAUCAUGGGAUCUCACGAUAUCACGUGAGCCAAGGUCGGAUUAGCUAGUUGGUGGGGUAAAGGCCUACCAAGGCGACGAUCCGUAACUGGUCUGAGAGGAUGAUCAGUCACACUGGAACUGAGACACGGUCCAGACUCCUACGGGAGGCAGCAGUGGGGAAUAUUGGACAAUGGGCGAAAGCCUGAUCCAGCCAUGCCGCGUGUGUGAAGAAGGUCUUCGGAUUGUAAAGCACUUUAAGUGGGAAAGAAGGGCAGUAAGUUAAUACCUUGCUGUUUUGACGGUACCAACAGAAUAAGCACCGGCUAACUUCGUG